AUUGAACGCUGGCGGCAUGCCUUACACAUGCAAGUCGAACGGCAGCACGGGUGCUUGCACCUGGUGGCGAGUGGCGAACGGGUGAGUAAUACAUCGGAACGUACCUUAUCGUGGGGGAUAACGCAGCGAAAGCUGUGCUAAUACCGCAUACGCCCUGAGGGGGAAAGCGGGGGAUCGCAAGACCUCGCGCGAUUAGAGCGGCCGAUGCCUGAUUAGCUAGUUGGUGGGGUAAAGGCCCACCAAGGCGACGAUCAGUAGCUGGUCUGAGAGGACGAUCAGCCACACUGGGACUGAGACACGGCCCAGACUCCUACGGGAGGCAGCAGUGGGGAAUUUUGGACAAUGGGGGCAACCCUGAUCCAGCAAUGCCGCGUGAGUGAAGAAGGCCUUCGGGUUGUAAAGCUCUUUUGUCAGGGAAGAAACACCGGCUCUAACACAGUCCGGGAAUGACGGUACCUGAAGAAUAAGCACCGGCUAACUACGUGCCAGCCGCCGUCGUAA
rnacentral:rRNA from 1 species